ACAGGUUUCUCACGUCUGGCAGGUCGAAGAGCUUCUGUCCGAAUUACGUGUCCGAAAUUCAGGUUUCCCUCAGGUAUUGGCUCGAGGAGGAUAUUUGUGAUGAUCUGAGUGAGUGUGAAAUGAACAGAGAGACAGGGCGCGCGCGCGAGAGAGAGAGUUGCGCGCGCUGAUGAUGCGUUAGGAUGAUUUUGGUUUGGAAAGCCCUUGGCAACAGUCGGAUAAAUGUCUCAGUUUUGACGUGCUUGGCUGUACCUUGCGUUUUAUUCAUAUUUUGACAACAGAUCAAAAUCAAGUUUCUCAAGUUUCUAGAGAGAACUAGCGGGCAAUGAUUGUUCAUCAAGAGGAAUAUUAGGCGCAAUGCGCAGCAUGGAGCAGCUCCAGUGGAUCACAAGAAACAUGCGCAGAUAUUUUCCACACAAGGAUGGCAGAAUCACGUGUAUGAUUUGACGCAAGAGUCUUUGCAAUCGUUUCUGACUGAUGAGGUGACAAGACUAAAUCUGUCUUCUGUGAUGUCGGGCGAAAACAAGAAAAAGAAAAGAAGAAUAUGGAGGAGGAAAUGGUUGGGAGACGCGAGGAAGACAUUGUGUGUUCUGCAACGAGAGUUGGAGAUUUGAGGAUCAUAAUGACCAGAUAUUGGCACACAUUGAACUGCAUGCAAAUGAUACUGAGAUCACUGACUGGAAACAGGAAAGUGUUUUUUUCUUCUUUCUUUCUUUUUUUUUCCUCAAGUGCAGAAACACCAAAUGCCAGCAUUGCCUGUCUGUCAAAUUGGCCACUUCCCUUGGACAAGCAGCCAAGGGAUCAGGACAGAACAAUUGCUGACCAUCUUUAACAAGCCAAAGCACAACAAUUCAACAUCUUCCUGUGUUUUCCCAACCAAUGUGAGUAUUUUAAAACAUCUACAGCCCAUUUGGAGUGGAUCACUUUCAGCCAGCUGCUGUCUUCCCUGGUAUAGCUCCCCCUAGCAGCUCCCUUCAUAUUUCCUUGUUCAUGCUAACCAUGAUAUCUAUUCUCACCCUAUACAGACACCAUGCAAGACUUGUAAAAAACCAUAUACAGGCAUGCAUUAGGCCAAUGAACAUCCCAAUGAGCCCAUCCAUCCAUUAGUGGCCUGGGCCAUUGGAGAACACAGCUCCUCUUACCUUUUCAGACUGCUCUCUCCAAAGUCCCUAUCCCGACUGUAGCUACUUCUUCUUCCCAGCAAACACUGCAAAAGAGGCUCUUCCAUUUUAGCUCAAUAUAGGGGGGUGUUCAAAUUGGACUAUACCAUUUAAACUGGUGUACAGAUGGCCCUGGGGCCUCAAAAGGGGCCCUUUGGCCACCAAUAUUAAUUCAAGUCUCCACUUGCUCCAUUGCAGAGGCAUGUAUGAACCCCUAUUGACCAGCCCCCUCCUCAAGCCACAGAUGACCUCCCCCAAUGACAUUCAAAUAUUCCAGGCUUCCAACAGUCAGAUAGUCUAUACAGAGAACCGACUGUCACUUCUGGAGGCAGCUGAGGGCACACAGAGUCUCCUGACAGGCCAGAAACAGAUAUUUUUCUCUGCAAAAUGGUGCAAACACAGGAUAUGUGUUUUAAAUGUGAUCGCUAGAAUAUUAGGAUGUCUUGAAACAUAAUGUAUGCUAAAACUAAAAAUAACUCCCAGAGAAGCAAACAUCUAUCUAAGUGCACAGAGGUGUGAAGUCACAGGAUGAGUAAAGUCAUAGUUAGAAAAAAAGAUAUUUGGGUAUUGAAAAGCACAUGUACAGACCUACACAAGUUUAUUUUAUAUUUUGUCUGUAACACCAUGUUUUGCUCUAUGUGUCACAGACUCAAACAUUUAUUAUAAUAUUUGCAUAUUUAUCUGCUACAAAUGAAUGUAGUUUAGAAAUCUACAAUACUACAAGUACAAGUACAAACAAAAUACUGGUGUGCUAUUCUAACCCAAUACCAGGGUUUGCAACACAAAUUUGAAAUCAAAAGGAUUUUGAAGAAUUUUGUGCAUACAUUUACUGUGCUAUCCACUCUUACUGGUUUAACAUUGUUAUUCCAUCACCAUUUCUUUUAAAACAUAAUUAUAAAUGUUAAACAUAGAAAACAUUUCAGUUCAAAGAGCAAAUAAAAAGGCUCUGGCUAUUCAGUAGUCACCCAAUUAAGUCAAAUUUAUUGUCUCAUGUUGUGCAUUUUUUGUGAAUCCAGUAGAAGUAGAAGCCACAUUGGUAAGUCUUACAACCCUCCCAGUCUGCUCAGCCAUGAUAUUUCUAGGUUUUUAGCAUGCAAAUGAAAAGAUUGUGUGGGUGUUCCUAUAUUAUGUUGUAUGAUUAUGUUACCUCAGGACGUUGGUGGUCCUUAUGUAGACCAUGAUUGUGAUUUCAUCCUGUUAUUGUCUUUAACUGGGUGAACUGACGGUGUUACAACACUCAUCAGUAGCGGUGUCUGUACUUAAACCUGCUUAGAUACAAAAACCGAAUCAACUAAAAUGACAAAAACGCUUACCGGCGUCGUGCAAAAACUGAAGGGAGAAUGCGGCAAAGCUGAUAGCAGCGGAUGGGAUGUUUUGAUAAAACUGAGAAAAAUUACAAUGCAUUAAACUACCCAAGUCUUAUGGCGAACACAAUCCAAUAACAAUCGAGUGAAGGAUUAUUUUCAGAAAGGCAUCUGUUAACUGGCCGACGCUGUGUGUUUUCAUCACUGACAGGUGUACGCGGCCUAAGAAUCGGCUAACAGAUCUAAUGUGAAAUAUCGCAACUUUGCCUGACAACAGAUUAGCCUACUGAUUCUGAUAUGAUGCCAGGAACUGAGACAACAUAUGAAGGUACGAUGAAAACAAAAAUGUCAAAUGUAGACUUACAGUCAGUCUUGAUGUUCAUGGAUUGCUUUCAGAGAUUUUCGAAGUCGUAUUCUAGAAUAUUUAUAGCCUAUAACAAACUGGCUGUAUUUGUAUAUUAAAUAUAGACAUUUAUAUACUAAUGUCAGAAAUGAAUAAUAAAUAUUAGACAUUAAUUUAAAAUAUCCGACCUCAAGUCUAGAAAAGCCUGUUGAUUUAAAAGUCUUGCAUGAAAGAUUAUUUUACUAUUUUAUUAUAGGCCUACAUUUGAAAUGGGGAUUACAUUUGUUUGAGUUCUUCUUUUCUUUCUUUUGUUUUGUGUUUUCAUUUAAAGGUUUCUUCAAGGUAUGGUUUUUUUAGUUUCCUUUAUUACAAAAUGAACAAUAAUUUUUGAGCAACUUCAAUAAUUUACACAUAUAGACAAACAUGCCUUCUUUGACCUGAUAUGAAAUGCAGAUUACCACAUAAAAGAUCUGUAUAUUAAGAGUCCCAGUGGCUGAAAUUUACGUUUCUUAAUACAGCUUUCUGUGAAGUUCAAGUCCAACAGUUUAUUAAGGCUUUAUCUUGGUUUUGAAAACUUUCUGAAUUCCUUUCAAAGCUUGUGACUGAAUUGUCUUUAUUGACAAGAUGAUGUGGGGGAAAUGUGUCAAACUUAUAUUCAACAACAGAUUACUGUAAUAAUCAAAGAGGUGAGUAAAAUGUAUCUUUAUGUAAUGUAAUAUUGUCACCAUAAUGCUGAGCUAAAAUUUAUUUUUAUAAUAAAGAUUAUAGAUGACAAUAUACAUGUAAUGUGAAAUGCCAAAUAAAGGCUUGUCUACCUUAUGUA